AAGUCGAACGCGUUGGCCCAAUUGAUUGACGGUGCUUGCAUCUGAUUGAUUUUGGUCGCCAACGAGUGGCGGACGGGUGAGUAACACGUAGGUAACCUGCCCAGAAGCGGGGGACAACAUUUGGAAACAGAUGCUAAUACCGCAUAACAGCGUUGUUCGCAUGAACAACACUUAAAAGAUGGCUUCUCGCUAUCACUUCUGGAUGGACCUGCGGUGCAUUAGCUUGUUGGUGGGGUAACGGCCUACCAAGGCGAUGAUGCAUAGCCGAGUUGAGAGACUGAUCGGCCACAAUGGGACUGAGACACGGCCCAUACUCCUACGGGAGGCAGCAGUAGGGAAUCUUCCACAAUGGGCGCAAGCCUGAUGGAGCAACACCGCGUGAGUGAAGAAGGGUUUCGGCUCGUAAAGCUCUGUUGUUAAAGAAGAACACGUAUGAGAGUAACUGUUCAUACGUUGACGGUAUUUAACCAGAAAGUCACGGCUAACUACGUGCCAGCAGCCGCGGUAAUACGUAGGUGGCAAGCGUUAUCCGGAUUUAUUGGGCGUAAAGAGAGUGCAGGCGGUUUUCUAAGUCUGAUGUGAAAGCCUUCGGCUUAACCGGAGAAGUGCAUCGGAAACUGGAUAACUUGAGUGCAGAAGAGGGUAGUGGAACUCCAUGUGUAGCGGUGGAAUGCGUAGAUAUAUGGAAGAACACCAGUGGCGAAGGCGGCUACCUGGUCUGCAACUGACGCUGAGACUCGAAAGCAUGGGUAGCGAACAGGAUUAGAUACCCUGGUAGUCCAUGCCGUAAACGAUGAGUGCUAGGUGUUGGAGGGUUUCCGCCCUUCAGUGCCGGAGCUAACGCAUUAAGCACUCCGCCUGGGGAGUACGACCGCAAGGUUGAAACUCAAAGGAAUUGACGGGGGCCCGCACAAGCGGUGGAGCAUGUGGUUUAAUUCGAAGCUACGCGAAGAACCUUACCAGGUCUUGACAUCUUGCGCCAACCCUAGAGAUAGGGCGUUUCCUUCGGGAACGCAAUGACAGGUGGUGCAUGGUCGUCGUCAGCUCGUGUCGUGAGAUGUUGGGUUAAGUCCCGCAACGAGCGCAACCCUUGUUACUAGUUGCCAGCAUUAAGUUGGGCACUCUAGUGAGACUGCCGGUGACAAACCGGAGGAAGGUGGGGACGACGUCAGAUCAUCAUGCCCCUUAUGACCUGGGCUACACACGUGCUACAAUGGACGGUACAACGAGUCGCGAACUCGCGAGGGCAAGCAAAUCUCUUAAAACCGUUCUCAGUUCGGACUGCAGGCUGCAACUCGCCUGCACGAAGUCGGAAUCGCUAGUAAUCGCGGAUCAGCAUGCCGCGGUGAAUACGUUCCCGGGCCUUGUACACACCGCCCGUCACACCAUGAGAGUUUGUAACACCCAAAGUCGGUGGGGUAACCUUUUAGGAACCAGCCGC
rnacentral:rRNA from 1 species